CAGACGCUGACCUCUCACCCCGUCCAGCCCCGAUGGCCCGACAAGGCCUGUCCACCCUCGUCCCCAUGGUGCAGGCUUCCUGUCCCCAUAAAGGCUUGGAGAGCAAGUGGGCCACCCCCUCCUGGGCCCGAGCCCUGCCCAAGCCCCUCCUCCACGCAGGCUCGAGGCCGAUGACCUUGGCAGUGGUCAGCAUGGGCCAGGAGCUGGGCCCCGGGGCCUCCACCCACCGGCAGCCCUCCAGCUGUCCUCUGCCUGGAGGCCCUUCCAGAGCCUUCUCUGUGGUCCUCGCCACUCUCAGCGAGGACCUGACCGCAGCAGCCACCCACGCCCUGCCGCACGGCCUCCCUCCCGCCUGCCUCCAGGGUGAGCUCAGGGUGGAGUCUCCCUGGUGCCGAGGAACCCGUGCGUCCUCAGGGUCCUGAGGAAAGCCAGCCCCUCUUCCCACAUGGCCAGCAAGCGGAAAGACGCCAGGCCGGCAGGCAGCCCAGGCCUCCGGUGGGCACCAGCACUGAGCCGGCUCUGCCCCCAGGUUGCCCUGGCUGGACUGGGGGUCCUCACAGAGCUUCUGGGGGUCAUGGUCAUCCCCUCUUCACACUGAGGCCCAGAGAGGCAGGGCCCCUGGGUUUAAUGCCGCUGUCCACACACCUCGCCCCGCCCCCCACGGCCCCUGGGGGAGGUGAGGCCCUGAGGGUUCUGCGAGGCCCUGGCUCCCAGCCCUGGGCCCCCGCACACCUCGCCUGCUGCGCCAGGUCCCAGGCCGGACUUCCUCUCGCUCCGGGCAGGAGUCCACCCAGGAGUCUGCACGGCCCUCGGCCCGCGGCCCGCCCUCCCGGCCAUAGGGCGGUGGAUGCGUGGGGAGGGGCAGCCUCUUCCCACAGAGUCAAGGACGUGGGCUCCUCUGGGAGCGUCCUCCACGCCUCCCCGCCCCAGGGAAGGCUGGGUCUGGAAGCUGCAGGGGGCUCAGUGAGGGCCGCCUGGGGUCUGCGGCGUUGGCGGUCUCCCUGCGGCUGUGUCGUGGGGCGGUGUCGGGCGUGCGCGUGCCGCCGGGUGCUCUGCAGGCCAUCUGCGGGCCCUGCUCUGCUCCUCUGGCUCUGGCCGUGGCAGGGUGCUGGGUGGCUUUGAAGGGGAAGUGGUGACCGGCUGGGGUGGCUGGGGGCGGCCGGGGUCCUGGGAACGCUUAGGCCUUAUCGUUGAUCAAAGCCGGGAGGAGCCUCCUGACAGGCAGGGUGUGGCCCGCCUGGCUCUCGUUAGGUACAGCUUGUUCCCAGGCCUGCUCCUCCUCAGCCUGUCCGUCACACCUGGGGGCCAGCGUGCCGGACCUCCGGCCUUGGCUCUCCCACAGUGUAGGCCAGCCACGGCGCCCGGCCAGGGCACCCCACGGCCCCUGCCCCUGCCUGCUGGGCCUGGCACGGUGUGCUGCCUCCCCGAGACCCUCCUCCCGAGACCCCCCGUCCCCAGGGUUGCUCCCAGAAGCCUACCUGGGCGGCAUGGUCCCAAACCGAGAUCCCUCUUCUGUGCAGACUGGACACCAGGGGACCAGAAGGGCCUCCCAGUCCCGUGCACAAGGCCUCUCAGCCAUCUACCCUCAGCCACCGUGGUCUGGAUCUUAAACAUCCCCUCAAAUUCAAAGGGGACAGCGGGACCCCAGUCUCUUCCUCUUUUUUUUUUUUCUUAUGUCCUGGUCAUGAUGCGAGUGAUCCUGCUCCCCCUCACGCCCCACCUUGAUGUGCUGCCCCCCACAAGAGGCCUGGAAGCACGAUCAGGGCUGAAGCCUGAGGAACCGUGAGCAAAGCAAACGCACAAGGAUGAGUCUGAGGAGCUAAGACCCCAUUGGGGCGAGGGCAGGAGUCUGGUGCGGACGUUAUCCCUGCCUCUCGACUUUGGGACGCACACUCUCCCUCCUUGGUGGCUGCCUCCAGGUGCCCUGGCUGGCCGCUGGCUACACAUCCGCAGGAGCUCACCAGCCUCGCCCGCAGGGCCACCUCGGAGGAGGAAGCCGAGACGGGUGGGCGACUCGGCCUGAGACCUGUGCAGGGUCUCGGCAGGGGCUGGGCACUCUGGAGAGCCAGCUCUGCCUCUGAGCUGCCAGGGGCACCCCAUCUCCACGUCCAGCCACCGUGCCCAGAGGGGCGGCCCAGGGCCCACUCAGUGGGGCCACCCCAGACCUGACCCGUGCCACAGGGCACCAGUGGCCACAGGAAGGAUGCCUGAAGGAGGGGCGGCUCACGCCGUGGGACCUGGCACGGGCCCUCCAGCCCACCCGGCCCGCCCAGUUUCUGGCCUGGAUCCGCCCAGGGCCUGUACUAGGCCCGUGCUGUACCUCUGAGCUGCCCCCAGCCUCCUGUCUCUCCGGCUGUGAAAUCCAUACACACUUACAGUAUCCCCGGACAGUAGCUGUUCGUCCACAAGACUUUGAAAGCCGAGUGCUAGGACUUCCUGCAGACUCUUCUGGACAGGGGCCUGUUGGGAGGGUACUCGGCUGCACGGUGUGCAACCUGCUCGGCAGACACAGUCUGAGUGACCAAGUGGGGUACAGGGACACUGGAUCAUCUUCAAGCUAUUUCCUGCAGUUUUCGCCAUCGUGACAAAUAUCCCAGAGAAGUUUCUUGCUCUCCAUAUUCUAAGUCGCAUUCUUAAAAAUGGAAUCCCUGCAGGGGCAUUAUGGGUCCCUUCUGGGACGCCACGUGCUCCAUCCGGGAAGGCCGUCUGGGUUAAGUGCUUCCACUUACACAGAGGAGGUUAUCCAGGUGGCAAAGUGAGCCAUGGAAACUGGUCCAAUUAUCCGAUUUUUGCUGGAAGGGAGGAAAAUAUCUAGUUUGUGGAAAAUGUUUGCAUACUGUUACAUCUUUACGUGUUGUGUAACUAUACACGCACACCAUGUCUUUGUAUGUAACACGUAAAGAUACACAUUCAAUAUGUGGAAUAUAAUACAAAUACGUAGAACAUGCUUUGCAAAUGUGCUUGUGGUCUCUGAGUGACGGGUGCUUGCCCAACACAAUCUGGGUUAGAAUAUAUUCAUAUAAAAUGUAAAUGCCAGUAAAAUGAAACCAGGGAAAGGAUGAGUAUGGUCCCACAACAUAAAUAAACAUAGAACAUACACUG